rnacentral:rRNA from 1 species
UACGGAGGGGGCAAGCGUUAUUCGGAAUUAUUGGGCGUAAAGGGCGCGUAGGCGGCUAGAUGUGUCAAAGGUGAAAUCCCUCGGCUCAACUGAGGAACUGCCUUUGAAACUGUCUGGCUUGAGGCCGGGAGAGGGUAGUGGAAUUCCCAGUGUAGCGGUGAAAUGCGUAGAUACUGGGAGGAACACCAGUGGCGAAGGCGGCUACCUGGACCGGUUCUGACGCUGAGGCGCGAAAGCGUGGGUAGCAAACAGG